rnacentral:rRNA from 1 species
AUUGAACGCUGGCGGCAGGCCUAACACAUGCAAGUCGAGCGGCAGCGGGAAGUAGCUUGCUACUUUGCCGGCGAGCGGCGGACGGGUGAGUAAUGCCUGGGGAUCUGCCCAAUCGAGGGGGAUAACUACUGGAAACGGUAGCUAAUACCGCAUACGCCCUACGGGGGAAAGCAGGGGACCUUUUGGCCUUGCGCGAUUGGAUGAACCCAGGUGGGAUUAGCUUGUUGGUGAGGUAACGGCUCACCAAGGCGACGAUCCCUAGCUGGUCUGAGAGGAUGAUCAGCCACACUGGAACUGAGACACGGUCCAGACUCCUACGGGAGGCAGCAGUGGGGAAUAUUGCACAAUGGGGGAAACCCUGAUGCAGCCAUGCCGCGUGUGUGAAGAAGGCCUUCGGGUUGUAAAGCACUUUCAGCGAGGAGGAAGGGGAGUGAGCUAAUACCUUACUUCAUUGGCGUUACUCGCAGAAGAAGCACCGGCUAACUCCGUGCCAGCAGCCGCCGUAA